CCUCCUUCACUCUCCGCUAACUGCUCGUCCUUCACUCUCCUUCACUCUCCGCCACUCUCCGCUAACUGCUCGUCCGUGUGUUCUCCGCCGACCGCCACUCUCGUCGGGGGGUUUCUGCCGGCCGGCACUAGCCAUCUCCGCAGUGGGUGCUCUCCGCCGACCGCGUACCGCCGCCGCGUCUAAGCUUCGACGUCGUCGCCAAAGCCCAACCUCUUCCGCCAUCGCCGCCGCCAUCCUGUGUCGCCGUCGGUCCAGCUGCCGCCGCCGUGAGGUUUAGAUUUUAAGGCUCCUCGUCAACCGGAUAGUAACCAAUGUGGUUUCUUUGUCAUGGCGUACAUGAAAACUUUAAUUGAGAAUAUGCCAGACUUCGAUGAUAAAAAUUCUGUUCAAGCACUGUUUCAACAAGUUGAUUAUGACAAAGCGUUUAUUGAUC